GACGAACGCUGGCGGCGUGCUUAACACAUGCAAGUCGAACGGAAAGGCCCUGCUUUUGUGGGGUGCUCGAGUGGCGAACGGGUGAGUAACACGUGUGUAACCUGCCCUUGACUUUGGGAUAACUUCAGGAAACUGGGGCUAAUACCGGAUAGGAUCUCCUGCUGCAUGGUGGGGGAUGGAAAGUUUCGGCGGUUGGGGCUGGACUCGCUGCUUAUCCGCUUGUUGGUGGGGUAGUGGCUUACCAGGGCUUUGACGGGUAGCCGGCCUGGGAGGGGGACCGGCCACAUUGGGACUGAGAUACGGCCCAGACUCCUACGGGAGGCAGCAGUGGGGAAUAUGGCACAGUGGGGGGAAGCCUGAUGCAGCAACGCCGCGUGCGGGAUGACGGCCUUCGGGUUGUAAACAGCUGUCGACGGUGACGAAGCGUGAGUGACGGUAAUGGGUAAAGAAGCACCGGCUAACUACGUG
rnacentral:rRNA from 1 species